rnacentral:rRNA from 1 species
AGUGAACGCUGGCGGUAGGCCUAACACAUGCAAGUCGAACGGCAGCACAGUAAGAGCUUGCUCUUACGGGUGGCGAGUGGCGGACGGGUGAGGAAUACAUCGGAAUCUACUUUUUCGUGGGGGAUAACGUAGGGAAACUUACGCUAAUACCGCAUACGACCUACGGGUGAAAGCAGGGGAUCUUCGGACCUUGCGCGAUUGAAUGAGCCGAUGUCGGAUUAGCUAGUUGGCGGGGUAAGGGCCCACCAAGGCGACGAUCCGUAGCUGGUCUGAGAGGAUGAUCAGCCACACUGGAACUGAGACACGGUCCAGACUCCUACGGGAGGCAGCAGUGGGGAAUAUUGGACAAUGGGCGCAAGCCUGAUCCAGCCAUACCGCGUGGGUGAAGAAGGCCUUCGGGUUGUAAAGCCCUUUUGUUGGGAAAGAAAAGCAGCAGGUUAAUACCCCGCUGUUCUGACGGUACCCAGAGAAUAAGCACCGGCUAACUUCGUG